rnacentral:rRNA from 1 species
UACGUAGGGUGCAAGCGUUAAGCGGAAUUACUGGGCGUAAAGCGUGCGCAGGCGGUUAUUUAAGACAGGUGUGAAAUCCCAGGGCUUAACCUUGGAACUGCAUUUGUGACUGCAUAGCUAGAGUACGGUAGAGGGGGAUGGAAUUCCGCGUGUAGCAGUGAAAUGCGUAGAUAUGCGGAGGAACACCGAUGGCGAAGCCAAUCCCCUGGACCUGUACUGACGCUCAUGCACGAAAGCGUGGGGAGCAAACAGG